rnacentral:rRNA from 1 species
UACGAAGGGGCUAGCGUUGCUCGGAAUCACUGGGCGUAAAGGGUGCGUAGGCGGGUCUUUAAGUCAGGGUGAAAUCCUGGAGCUCAACUCCAGAACUGCCUUUGAUACUGAAGAUCUUGAGUUCGGGAGAGGUGAGUGGAACUGCGAGUGUAGAGGUGAAAGUUCGUAGAUAUUCGCAAGAACACCAGUGGCGAAGGCGGCUCACUGGCCCGAUACUGACGCUGAGGCACGAAAGCGUGGGAGCAACAGGG